rnacentral:rRNA from 1 species
CCUUCAUGAAGCCGGAAUUGCUAGUAAUGGCAGGUCAGCAUACUGCCGUGAAUACGUUCCCGGGCCUUGUACACACCGCCCGUCACACCAUGAGAGUUUGUAACGCCCAAAGUCGGUGGCCUAACCUUUAUGGAGGGAGCCGCCUAAGGCGGGACAGAUGACUGGGGUGAAGUCGUAACAAGGUACC